UCCCACAUGUCAAAAACAAGACAUCUGAAAUGAGUUAAGCUUGAUUAAUCUUGAUGUGUGCAUCUUCUCACUGAACAUGACUUGCGUUACAUGAACCGACGUCACGCCGCACUGAGAGAAUCAUCCUCACUAUACGACACAGUUUUCAAAGGGAGACUUUUUUUUUUUUUUAGUUUUAGUGUCGUUGUAGUUUCUAAGCAACAGAAAUCCGGGUACGAAGAGUUCGAUGAAGCAGCAGACGGCUUCACGAGGAACGAGCGACUUCAUCUCAAGUUGAACAACAAGUAGUUAACACGCUGAUCCGUCCGCAUCCACUGUUUUCAACGUGAGCAAGAUGGCCGCUGCUGGGAGAAGGCCCUCGCGGUCGGCGCGCCAUGUGACCACGGCAACCACAGAAAACCUCAGCAAAGGAACCGAUACAGGAGCCGGAUAUCACAAUGACUUGGCCUCGGAUUCCCUGUGCGGUUGCAAAUUCCCAACGAGGACACUGAAGUCAAUGCCCAUCCAAUUACUUCGUUCUAAAGUAUGUAAAAUCAUGCAACGGUGAGGAAAGGAAGGAUUAGGCUACGGCUCGACUAUAGCAUGAGGUUCUCUUUCCUUCCAAAGACUCUGAAUGUCAAAUCUUUUUUUUUCUUUUGUGUGUGUGUGUGUGUUGUUUAAUUAGAGAAUGCUUAUCAUAGACGCAUGGCGCGCUACUGAGAGGUGACAGCACCCCAGUGUUGUAAAAUUAAUUAUAUCACUAAUGUGGACCCUGUGCAUGUGAAAUAGCUGAACUCUCCCCAAAUAGCUCAUUAAUCUUCAGACAGCCACUCCUGGACUAGGUGAAGUGGUCUUGAAUUUCAAUACCCAUCCUUGCUGGUUGUAACCUUUCCCUCCUCUCGCUCGAGCAGCCGAUGGGGGAACAGGAGCAUUGGAGAGAGAAUAAUAUUGUCUGCAGCGGUAUCUCUAGCACUUCUCUCUGUGAGUCAUAUAAUUACACACACCUACGCAGUUUUCCUAAACACACACACACUCUCUCUCACACACACACACUUGCGCAAAACCAGGCUUAGAGUUUAAAGUGGAGUACGCCCGAGAAGUGCUGAUGUAUCCUAUGAUUAUUAAAAAAAGAAAAAAUACUGCCCGCCGCACUAGCAUAAACAAAUCACUUGAAAUGAAAUUUUUCAGGUAAUAAAAGUGCGUUCUUGAAAAAGACCAAACUGGACCCCACUGGUUCUUAUCCGUUUUUAGCCGUCGCAGCAAAAGUAUGCAGGAAAUUAAAGUUCUCGAUUUAAAGAUUUGUUUGAUACACUGCAAACCUUUCCACUUGUUAUUAAAGCCCUCCAGAGAUUUUUAUCGUAUCACAUGAUCAUUAGUGGAUGGAAUGGAGUUUUUAUCUGGAACCUUUUUCUUACUCCUGCAUUAGAGCAUCGCAAGCAGGAAUAGCAAGAGAGAGCAAUAAGAGGACUGUGAAGAUUAAAGCGUCAGCGAAAUUUUGGUUGCCAGGUGAAACUAAAGAAUGAUAGAUCCUAAAUUUCCCACAGUGCAACGUUUACAGUGUUUUUUAUCACUUUCCACGCUUGGUUAAUACCAACAUCCAUCAGUUCCCAAAACAUCAGCAGUUCCGGAUGAUGUAAAGAAAAACAAAUUAUGUCAGUCAGUUCGACCUUAAACAACCGCUUUAUUACUGGAUGAACUUUGUGUGUAAAAUCAAUGCGGUGCUGUUUUAUCAAAUGGCUAUUUUUUACCUCCCAAACAGCCGUUUAUUAAACAAUUUUGCAUCAGUUAUAAUGUCUUUAUGCUAUUUUUUUUUCCAAAUGAAUUAAGAUUUUAAAAAAGUAAAAUAUUUACUGUAGGUGUCCAUCAGGGUGCUCUCCGUGGUGCUGAUCUAAAGAGAAAACCAAGUGUAUCCUCUGUUUGUUUGGCAUCGGCUGCAGAGUGGUUUUGCAAACCCUCUUUAGGGCAGUAUGGUUUCUGUAAUCCGCCCCACUGUUUGUGUGACUCUCCCC
ensembl:lncRNA